CCUAUUUUUUGGGUUAAAUUUGCUCACUGGAAAGUUUAUACAUGGGCAACCCAAAAUUAGGUAGAAAUUUGAACAUGGCGAUUACCCAUAAUUUGAGUUGCUCGCUGUGAACUUCGUGUUGGGUAGGAAUUGAAUAAUGACGUCUACUCAAAUUCAAGUUCAUCGCUUUGUACUUAUAUUUUGGGUAGUCCAUUUCAAACAAAGUAGUAGGUAAUGUUUUUGACAGCCAUUGUUAUUGUUGUGAAUCAAAUUGCAUGAAGUGGCUCUGGAAAAGAAUGGUAAUUAUAAUGCAUAAUGCAAUAAUUUCAAUUAAAAUUAAUGAUUAAUUUAUUUCAGCCUAGAAACUUAGGAUAAAGCAAUUAGCGCUGGAUCUAAAACAUGAGUCGAUGAUGAUCGAGUUGCACUUUUUGUUGCCAACGAACGGAAAACAAAUAAAUAAUUGAAGAAAUUUUUCUCCUCAAAAUAUUUGAUUAUUUCUGCUGCCUCUGCACUCCUUGCUGUCGUUCGAUUCCGUUCACGUGGCUUCGACGUGCUGCCUCGAGGAUCGGCAACUCGUUGGUAGCGAGCCGCGUGGCUUGUUUCGAUAUUCCACCUGUUGCUAUGGGCCUUGGUUGCCUCUAGAUGACCUCGCAUCUGCGUGGUGACUUCAGGAAACUAUUCAGUCAUGUCAAACUGAGGCUUCCAAUAGUCAACACCGGUGAAACAACGUCAUCUCGGUUAUUGACUUCAGAUACAUCGAGCAAUACGGAACAUUUGAACAAGACUGUAGCUUACCCGAGCUCCGAGCCACUACAAUUCCAUUUGACUUCAGUCAUACCGGCUGGAAUAUAAUAUAGAAUUCUGGCUGUCUAAGAGACAAGUAUUUUAAUUGUGCAUUCAUUUUUAUUUGUUUUUUGUUGAUGAUUAAUUCAUUUCAAAUAUAUUUGUAGUUGGAACUGUGGCCACAUUUGCAAUUAUGGUGCCACUGACAUAUGAGCAAGCGUAUGGGGGAUAGACCACUAGUGAAUAAUUGUUCUUAAACCUGAGGGGUAACCACCCAUAUUGAUGGUGGUUUUAAGUGUUUUGUUACCAGCCACCAUCUUGGAUUUCAAAAUGGCGCCAAUCAUCAAU